rnacentral:tRNA from 1 species
UGGGGUGUAGCCAAGUGGUAAGGCACCAGUUUUUGGUACUGCGCAUCGUAGGUUCGAAUCCUACCACCCCAG